rnacentral:rRNA from 1 species
UACAGAGGUCCCGAGCGUUGUUCGGAUUCAUUGGGCGUAAAGGGUGCGUAGGCGGUCUUCUAAGUUUGAUGUGAAAUCCCGGGGCUCAACCCUGGAAUUGCAUUGAAUACUGGAGGACUAGAGUACCGGAGAGGAAACUGGAAUUUACGGUGUAGCAGUGAAAUGCGUAGAGAUCGUAAGGAAGACCAGUGGCGAAGGCGAGUUUCUGGACGGUAACUGACGCUGAGGAGCGAAAGCGUGGGGAGCGAACAGG